GGAGCGGUGGCCGGUUCGGCC
rnacentral:misc_RNA from 1 species